GCAUAAGGAACGGGGGGAACAGGAAGAGAACAAAGAAUUAAGUGGAAGAAGGGGGGCGGUAUUCAAGAUGUUGCAUUUGUUCCUUUCUUUGGACCGGUUUCUGUCACCCGCGUCUUUAUCUUUCAUUUCAUGCACGACGCGAGAAAGGAAGGAAGAAAGGAAGGUCAGACAAGGAGGCAGCUCAGGAGAUAAAAAAAAAAUCGAUG
rnacentral:ribozyme from 1 species